rnacentral:rRNA from 1 species
GAUGAACGCUGGCGGCGUGCUUAACACAUGCAAGUCGAACGGAAAGGCCCAAGCUUGCUUGGGUACUCGAGUGGCGAACGGGUGAGUAACACGUGGGUGAUCUGCCCUGCACUUCGGGAUAAGCCUGGGAAACUGGGUCUAAUACCGGAUAGGACGAUGGUUUGGAUGCCAUUGUGGAAAGUUUUUCGGUGUGGGAUGAGCUCGCGGCCUAUCAGCUUGUUGGUGGGGUAAUGGCCUACCAAGGCGUCGACGGGUAGCCGGCCUGAGAGGGUGUACGGCCACAUUGGGACUGAGAUACGGCCCAGACUCCUACGGGAGGCAGCAGUGGGGAAUAUUGCACAAUGGGCGCAAGCCUGAUGCAGCGACGCCGCGUGGGGGAUGACGGCCUUCGGGUUGUAAACUCCUUUCGCUAGGGACGAAGCGUUUUUGUGACGGUACCUGGAGAAGAAGCACCGGCUAACUACGUG